rnacentral:rRNA from 1 species
GACGAACGCUGGCGGCGUGCCUAAUACAUGCAAGUCGAACGCACUCUCGUUUAGAUUGAAGGAGCUUGCUCCUGAUUGAUAAACAUUUGAGUGAGUGGCGGACGGGUGAGUAACACGUGGGUAACCUGCCCUAAAGUGGGGGAUAACAUUUGGAAACAGAUGCUAAUACCGCAUAAAACCUAACACCGCAUGGUGUAGGGUUGAAAGAUGGUUUCGGCUAUCACUUUAGGAUGGACCCGCGGUGCAUUAGUUAGUUGGUGAGGUUAAAGGCUCACCAAGACCGUGAUGCAUAGCCGACCUGAGAGGGUAAUCGGCCACACUGGGACUGAGACACGGCCCAGACUCCGUACGGGAGCAGC